rnacentral:rRNA from 1 species
AACGAACGCUGGCGGCAGGCCUAACACAUGCAAGUCGAGCGAGCCGUCGGGUGGGCGGCGGCCGGGUGAGUAACGCGUGGGAAUAGGCCCAUCUCUACGGAAUAGUCCUGGGAGACUGGGGGUAAUACCGGAUACGCCCUCUGGGGGAAAGAUUUAUCGGGGAAGGAUUAGCCCGCGUUGGAUUAGGUGGUUGGGGGGGUAUUGGCCUACCAGGCCGACGAUCCAUAGCAGGUGUGAGAGGAUGAGCAGCCACACUUGGACUGAGACACGGCCCAGACUCCUACGGGAGGCAGCAGAGGGGAAUCUUGGACCAUGGCGGCAACCCUGAUCGAGCCAUGCCGCGUGAGUGAUGAAGGCCUUAGGGUUGUAAAGCUCUUUCAGCUGGGAAGAUAAUGACGGUACCAGCAGAAGAAGCCCCGGCUAACUCCGUG